rnacentral:rRNA from 1 species
UACGUAGGGUGCAAGCGUUGUCCGGAAUUAUUGGGCGUAAAGAGCUCGUAGGCGGUUUGUCGCGUCGGGAGUGAAAACCUCGGGCUUAACUCGGUGCUUGCUUUCGAUACGGGGCAGACUAGAGGUAUGCAGGGGGAGAACGGAAUUCCUGGUGUAGCGGUGAAAUGCGCAGAUAUCAGGAGGAACACCGGUGGCGAAGGCGGUUCUCUGGGCAUGAUCUGACGCUGAGGAGCGAAAGUGUGGGGAGCGAACAGG